AGUGAACGCUGGCGGUAGGCCUAACACAUGCAAGUCGAACGGCAGCACCGUAAGAGCUUGCUCUUACGGGUGGGGAGUGGCGGACGGGUGAGGAGUACAUCCGGAUCUACUUUUUCGGGUGGGUUCACGUAGGUGAACUUACGCUCAUACCGCAUCCCACCCACGGGUGAAAGGGUUGGAUCUUCUGACCUUGCGGGGAUGAAUGCGCCGAUUUUGGGUUUGAUGGUUGGGGGGGUAAAUGCCAACCCAGGGGAGGAUACGUAGCUGGUCUGGGUGGAUGAUCAGCCACACUGGAACGGAGACAGCGACCAGACUCCUACGGGAGGCAGCAGAGGGGAAUAUUAGACAAUGGGCGCAAGCAUUAUCCAGCCAUACCGCGUGGGUGGAGAAGGCCUUCGGGUUGUAAAGCCCUUUUGUUGGGUGAGAAAAGCAGCAGGUUAAUACGCCGCUGUUCUGACGGUACCCAAAGAAUAAGCACCGGCUAACUUCGUG
rnacentral:rRNA from 1 species